CCAUCAUCAUCAACAAGAAGAAGAGCAUCACAAAUUCAAAGGAAAGUUGAAGACGUUCAAGGUUUAUGAUCAACGGUACAGAAUGAGCAGAUUUCAGAUUCAAGUAAAGCAACAAGACAAGGAGAAAUUUUCUUACAAGUCGAAGACUAUUGUAUAGGAGUGAAGAUUAUCAAGAUGAGAAUUCAAGAAGUAUGAUAUCAAGACAUACAAGUUGUGAAGAAUUGAGUGGUGUUUCGGAGUCAUAUGGCGCAAAAGAAGGAAGAAAGCACUCUUUUGGAGCGUAAGGGAAAAACCGUCAAUUCACAUGCGAGUUGUACUUAGAGCAGGCUGCGGUUGCGCAGCAAUGGAGCGUAAAAGGACAGAAAUGUCAUUUCAGGCAAACACUAUCGAGAGUCCAACUAAGUUUAAGGGAAAACUCUAUUGAAGGAGUACUAAACACAUGACAUAUGGGAAUAAGGGGGCUGCCAUAUGGUUAUCCCUUAUCAGAAGUGACUGGCUAUUUAAAUCCACCCCAAUCAUUUCUAACCAUAAAUCGAGAAAUGUGUUCUCAUUCAAUCAUUAGUUACGCUUGAAAUUGAGAAAAAUAAGUAGCGGCUGCUAUCACCUGAAGCUGAUGUUGUCCGAGAGACUAGAUCGAUAAACAAUGAGAGAAAUUGGAGAUCGAUUUGAGUAUGAAAUGAUAGAGUAAGAAGACCUGCUGCUGUUGAAUCUCGAAGAACAAGAAAAGAGAAUUGGGUCUGUCUUGGUGCUGAUUUUCACGGGUUUCGCUUUGAUCGAGUUUUAUAUGAAGAUUGAUUCAAGCAGAUGGAUUUACAGAUCAAUUAAGUAGUGGGCCUGUCUGUUGUUGAAUCGAGAAGAUCUGGUGGUAAUUUGAAGAUGAGAAGAUUAAGGGUUUUGCUGCCAGAUGAAUUGAGAAUGGAAGAAGAGGAAUCAAAAUUGAGGUUGAAUUCAGUUAGGGUUUGAAGAAUAGGAAAUAAGAAAUUCAACUUCUCAAAUGAAUGAGAAGUGGGUUUAUCUGCUAAGGGUUAGUAUCGGAUUUGGGUUUUGAUGAUUGUGCUGUGAAUCGAGUAUCAGAUGAAGAACUGUCGUUUAAUUGGAUCUGAUUGAGACGAAGAUGCAAGUGACGGGUUACUGGUUCUGGUGGUAAGUUAGAGCAGCUUUGAAGUGCAAAGAAGAACAAAAUGGGGUAUUGAGUUGGAUUUCCAGUGUUGUCUGUUGCUAUGAUCUAAAGGGUUGCAAGAAGGUGCAGGUUAUGGAGGAAUGACUCAAUGUAUGUGUUGUUAUGAAGAUUAGUGGGAUGAAACUACAGGGAGUGACAUUGAAGUUGGCUGCAAUUGAGUGAUAAGCAUGUGAGCUGAACUGAAAUGGUGCUGCUGGAUUUUAUCUGGUAGUGACUGAUUGAUGCACUUGAGCUGUGAUGCAGGGAUUGAUUAACUUGAGUUAGAAGCAGCUGUUGUAGGUUAAGGAUUGAAGUUGUGUGUGAAGUGAAGUUGUAGGUGGUUGUAAUGGUCUUGAACCAGAGCUGGUUGAGCCGAAAUGGAAGUGGAUUAGACUGUGUUUGAUGCAAUGGGUAUUGAAGUAUGAAAUUUCAGCUGUAACUGGUGGUUGCAACUAAAUGGACUGAGACAGUGGUGUUGCUGCUUCUGGUAUGUUAGAGUUGAAGUUAUGCAUUUGAAGCUACAAGAUGGCAGUUUGAGUUGUGAAUGAUGUGAAGCUGCACGGGAUUGUAGUUGGUGGUAGAAGAGGACUGGUGUUUGCUUACUGCAAUGGAUUGGCAAUUGCAGUAGCAGCUGGGAAUGGAGCAGCUGAGAUGACGUAGGGAUGGUUGCUGCUAAAGUUAUUAAGCUGGUCAAAUGGGUAAAGCUGCAGUUCUGGAUAAUGGCAUUGCAGGUGGAAUGGAGAUGUAUUGAUGACGAGCUCGGGAGGCAACAGGAAUGACAAUGAUAAACACGAAAAGAAAGUGAUUAAUGACAGUAUUGCUCGAAAUUUGAGUAGAAGACUGUGAUGGUGUUGGCUGGCCUGAGAUGGUGCCUGAAGUUGUUGGAGUUGAGUUAGCAGCGCAGGGAAGACUUGAGUUUGCGUAGAUGAAUGCUAGGUAUUUGUAACAGAUUGAAAGUGAAGCUAAAGUGGAAUGUGUUUGAGGUGCUGGGAAAGAUGCAUCUGUUAGGUGGUGUUUUUGUAUAGAUUAAUCAACUGCAAUGGAUGUACACAGGUGGUAUGACUGAGAAGGAGAAUGAUUGAUCAUGAUGCAGCGGCUAUGAUGAUGGUUAUUUGUGAGAAGCAAGCCAUGAGGUUGAGCUGCAGGUUACAAGAAGAAGUGCAACUGAACUGGAAUUGCAGAAUACAUAAUCUGAGUUGUGACCAUGGAUUGAGAGGAUUAAAGCACAAUCAUUGUGCAGCACAAGUUCAGCCUAUGCAAUAGCUUAGGCCUUGGGAGAAUGGAACAGUCAUCUGAGCUGACUCUGACUCACUUAACCCAGUUGACCGAGUCGACUCGUUGACCCGACCGAUUCAGGCCGUUGACCGGUGAACGGGCGGACUUUGCCGGUCAACUGAGAACUUUUCUGGCGACUCUCCGGCCACUUUUCGGCGACUUUUCGGCGGAGUUUCUACACGGGUUUUUAUGACUUUUGGGUCACGCGGAUUUUCGUCUAAUGGGCUUUGAAAUUUUGAGCUAAUUUUGGGAAGCAAAGGGAUAUAAAAGAAGGACUUCUACAACUUUUGAGGGGAUCUUAUUUUUUUAUUCUUCUUGGAGCUUUGGAGAAAACUACUUCUAGGGUUUGCUUUGUUUACAUCUUCUUUAUUAUUUUAUUGAUCAUGAUGAUGAUGAACUCCAUUAUUAUGAGUAACUAAAUACACUUGUUGGUUAUGGGAUAAAAGUUGAUUUCUCAAUGCAUGUUAUUUGAUUCUAUGGA